UACGAAGGGGGCUAGCGUUGCUCGGAAUCACUGGGCGUAAAGCGCACGUAGGUGGAUCGCUAAGUCAGGGGUGAAAUCCUGGAGCUCAACUCCAGAACUGCCUUUGAUACUGGCAAUCUCGAGUCCGGGAGAGGUGAGUGGAACUCCGAGUGUAGAGGUGAAAUUCGUAGAUAUUCGCAAGAACACCAGUGGCGAAGGCGGCUCACUGGCCCGGUACUGACGCUGAGGUGCGAAAGCGUGGGGAGCAAACAGG
rnacentral:rRNA from 1 species